AGUCAAAAAAGAACAGCCUUGACACUGAAUUCAGCUCUGAGUGACCUUGAGAUCAGGAUUAAUCAGUAGUGAAGUGUUACACCCAGUAGCAAAACAAACAUUCCUGAAAUGCAAUGAAUAUUGCAAAUACUUUGUGGAAAACGAGAUUUUUAUUUGCUGAUUGAAAUGAACUCAUUGUGUGAUGUCAUACAGGAUAUUAAAUGGCUUUAUUCUUGCUGUGGACAAACCCUGUAAUGAAAUCAGCUUGCUCAUCAGUUAUUGUAAAAUAUUAAAGACAAGAUCGAUUUUAAAGGGGAAAAAGAGGCUAAACCAGUUCACAUUCUGCAUUCCUUCAUGCGUCACAGAAGCUUUUUGAUAUAUUUCCUCAGUCAUUUCCUGCUGGAUUCUGCUGUUCUCCGCUGUGAUUAUAUCAAAUCUGAUGUUUUAGUAGACGUCUUCUCCGAGGAUAUAAAUGAAACAAAACAAAUCUGAUGCAGGAGUUAAAAUAGGAAUACAUAUUUCCAGAUCUGGAUCUGGAUGUUCUCUGAAACCUCAAAAUAAGAAAAGUAAGACUUUAUGCCAGUAAUAUGACAAGAAAACUAAACACAGCUGAAGAAAAAAAAAAGAAGACAGAUGAAUCCAAACCUGCGCAGAAGAAAAAAACAAUGAAUAGAGGAAAAGAAAAUGUCCGUGGAUUCAGAAAACAACGUAAUCGGCAGCAUAAAAACAGCCUCGACAAAAAUCGACCAAAGUUCUCUCUUGAUCCAGAAGGACAGAUGAGAAAGCAGCAGCUUUUCUCUUCUAACCAUCAGGAUGUUCUUCAUCACUGUCAGUCGAUGAUUCAGACUGAGACUGGAACACAAAACUCUAAUAUUUUCCUGUGAAAACACUGUUUUUAAGUGUUCAUGACUGUCACUGCACUGAACUGUGUUAAACUGGGGCAGAAACACUGAGAUCACACUGUCCUUCUGUUUGAGCUGAUGUUCAUGGCAGCAGUUGCUCAAACUGUCUAGAGUUUUACCAGUUCUGUGACUUCAGGCACUUUAUUCUGACAUCUUUAAAUGUGUCAUUACUUUACUUC